rnacentral:rRNA from 1 species
AACGAACGCUGGCGGCAUGCCUAACACAUGCAAGUCGAACGAGACCUUCGGGUCUAGUGGCGCACGGGUGCGUAACGCGUGGGAACCUGCCCUUAGGUUCGGAAUAACUCCCCGAAAGGGGUGCUAAUACCGGAUAAUGUCUUCGGACCAAAGAUUUAUCGCCUUUGGAUGGGCCCGCGUUGGAUUAGCUAGUUGGUAGGGUAAAAGCCUACCAAGGCGACGUUCCAUAGCUGGUCGGAGAGGAUGACCAGCCACACUGGGACUGAGACACGGCCCAGACUCCUACGGGAGGCAGCAGUGGGGAAGAUUGGACAAUGGACGAAAGCCGGAUCCAGCAAGGCCGCGUGAGGGAGGAAGGCCUUAGGGAUGUAAAGCUCUUUUACCCGGGAUGAUAAUGACAGUACCGGGAGAAUAAGCUCCGGCUAACGUCGUGC